rnacentral:rRNA from 1 species
UACAGAGGUGGCAAGCGUUGUUCGGAAUUACUGGGCGUAAAGGGCGCGUAGGCGGUUCGUUAAGUCCUGUGUGAAAUCCCCCGGCUCAACUGGGGAACUGCACAGGAAACUAGCGGGCUUGAGUUCGGGAGAGGGAAGCGGAAUUCCGGGUGUAGCGGUGAAAUGCGUAGAUAUCCGGAGGAACACCGGUGGCGAAGGCGGCUUCCUGGACCGACACUGACGCUGAGGCGCGAAAGCUAGGGGAGCGAACAGG